rnacentral:tRNA from 1 species
GGGCCCGUAGCUCAGUCUGGACAGAGCGGCAGCCCCCUAAGCCGGGCAUACGCUCCAGGCGGCGACAGCUGUUGGAAACCGUGAAGUGGUUUCCGGCGAAAGGUCGAGGGUUCGAAUCCCUCCGGGCCCG